rnacentral:rRNA from 1 species
AGAGUUUGAUCCUGGCUCAGAUUGAACGCUGGCGGCAGGCUUAACACAUGCAAGUCGAGCGGAGAUGAGGUGCUUGCACCUUAUCUUAGCGGCGGACGGGUGAGUAAUGCUUAGGAAUCUGCCUAUUAGUGGGGGACAACAUUCCGAAAGGAAUGCUAAUACCGCAUACGUCCCACGGGAGAAAGCAGGGGAUCUUCGGACCUUGCGCUAAUAGAUGAGCCUAAGUCGGAUUAGCUAGUUGGUGGGGUAAAGGCCUACCAAGGCGACGAUCUGUAGCGGGUCUGAGAGGAUGAUCCGCCACACUGGGACUGAGACACGGCCCAGACUCCUACGGGAGGCAGCAGUGGGGAAUAUUGGACAAUGGGGGGAACCCUGAUCCAGCCAUGCCGCGUGUGUGAAGAAGGCCUUAUGGUUGUAAAGCACUUUAAGCGAGGAGGAGGCUACUGAGACUAAUACUCUUGGAUAGUGGACGUUACUCGCAGAAUAAGCACCGGCUAACUCUGUGCCAGCAGCCGCGGUAAUACAGAGGGUGCGAGCGUUAAUCGGAUUUACUGGGCGUAAAGCGUGCGUAGGCGGCUUUUUAAGUCGGAUGUGAAAUCCCCGAGCUUAACUUGGGAAUUGCAUUCGAUACUGGGAAGCUAGAGUAUGGGAGAGGAUGGUAGAAUUCCAGGUGUAGCGGUGAAAUGCGUAGAGAUCUGGAGGAAUACCGAUGGCGAAGGCAGCCAUCUGGCCUAAUACUGACGCUGAGGUACGAAAGCAUGGGGAGCAAACAGGAUUAGAUACCCUGGUAGUCCAUGCCGUAAACGAUGUCUACUAGCCGUUGGGGCCUUUGAGGCUUUAGUGGCGCAGCUAACGCGAUAAGUAGA